GGUUUUAAGAAGAGAAAGAGGCCUCAAGGCAUGAGAUAAAAAAAAUGAGUGAGGUUGAUUGAUUUUAAAUUUUGAAAAUGAUUGAAGUUGAAUUAAAAUUGAUUGAGAGUUUGAUUAAGAAAAUAAAGGAAAAAUGUUAUUAAGAAAAUGAUUUUGAAGUUGUGCAUAUUUGAUUUUUUGAGAAAAUGGUUUUUCUAAACUAACGGUGAAAACUAACGUAGCGUCGUAAAAAGAACGAGCGGAAAGCGGUAAAUAUAUUGUGGUAGUGUCGGUGCAAGUGUCGGUGCUUGUGUUACCUACAUUAUUACAUCAAUUCCUAAAUACAACCCUAAGGCCUUUAUGCCAAAAUAAAAUGCAAGAAAUAAAACUUACAUCAAUUUCCUAUUUAUACACACUAAGUCAAUGACAAAAUAAAAUGAUGAGAAAAUUAAAUGUACAUGCUAUGAUUCAAGACAAAAAUUAAAUCGUUAGUAACAUAAGAAAUAUCAUGGUGAAUGAGACAUAAGUAAUAAAAAACAAGGAAUUAAGACAAGCAACAAUUAAGAUCAUCAUAUAAGAAAUAAACAAAAAAGUUUAAAAGAAAACCAAUAGGAUAGAUUUUUAAAAAUUAGAGAAAAUUAAAAUGGUGAGAACAAUAUUUUUGGAAUUUUUUCUAAACACAAAAAUGUCAAAAAGUGUAAAAAAACAGUAUUUAAAAAUAAAGACAAUUAAAAAUAAGAAAUGAAAAAAAUAUUGGCUCAGCAGGAUUUAAUCUGGACCGUUGGAUGAAUCCAGAGGUCCAGAUCUGAAUCCCAAGAUCUCAUCACAGCCAUAGGAUCUAAGAUCCAACGGUUUUAAAAAUAAACAGAAAAAAGGAAGGAUAUACUGGAAGCACAGUGACCGUCAGAUCAAUGAUCUGACGGUUCAACAGCAGGCACGCAGUAUUCCACACAAAAGAAACAAACACUCAACCACAUACGAGAUGCAUCAUAGGCCGUUAGAUCUACGAUCUGACGGCCUAGCUAUAAUCAUACACGGUAAUACGAUGGAACAACACACAUGGAAUUAAAAUAAAAUGAUGAGGCUAUAUAAAGUGGUUUCACCAAAAAAAACACACAUAAAACAAAAUCCUUCUCUCUCUAAAUUAAACUUAGAGAGAGAAGCUCUCCCUUCUCCCAAAAACAAAUCGCCGGAGAAGAUGAAGAAGGGGUGGCCGGAGUUCCUCCGGUGCGGUGGUUGACCAAGCCGCCGCCGCGCCGGAGUUUUAUUUUUAUUUUUUUUUUGAAAUUUUUUACAUCAAAAGCUUCUUCUCCUUCUUCUCUAUGCAAAUCCGGUAUUAGUUUUAAAAGGGUAGAGAGAUUUGAGCUAGAUCUACAAAUGAAGAUUUGAAAUUUUUUGUCCAUGAAAGAGAAAAGAGGAGAGGGAAUAUAGUUACCCUAGUUGAAAUGGAGAAAUAUGUUGUAGAAAGAGAAAGAAAGCUUCGUUUUCUUCUAGAUUCGGAAUAUUUCACUUCAUUUUCCUUCUCUUCUUCUUUGCUUGACUCGAAAUUGUUGGUGUUGGUGAUGAAGAACCACGUUUUGAUUAUGUAGAUGGAAACCGGUUCGGUUUUGGUGUUUUUGUGAUGAGUUGAGUUGAUUCUGUUAGUUUAUGGUGAUUAUGUGAUGAUUUGAGUGUGCUGGAAAUUUUGUGUUCAUAGUGUUCUUCAUGUUCAUGAGGUUCUUGAGGUGUUCAUAUCAUUUUUGUUGAUCUUUUGUGGUUUGAUCCGAAUUUGGAUGAGAGAGAAAAGUGAAAGGUGUUUGUGAAUAUUUUAUUGGUGGCUGAAAUUUCUGACUGACUCUGACGCGUGUUUUCUCUCUAACGCGCGUGAACAGUCCCCUCUUCCCAAUGAUUGGACAGUGUAUUUAUAGUGACAAAAUAGGGUUGGCCCUGG
rnacentral:lncRNA from 1 species